CAGAAAACGCCAUUUUGGUUCUUGAACCGUAUGACAACCGUGCUGGUAGGCAUUUCCGCAGAGCCCAAAUGGUGUUCUCAGUGGUUCAGUUUCAGUAAAUCUCAUACCCACAGUUAGAUCCGCCCACUCGUGAGUCAGAGGAUUCUAUGAGGUCUGCUGUAAUGACAGCUCAAACCUGUCCACGUCAACACAGGAACAGCACCAUGGACUCCGUGGCUCUGGAACCAUCACUAUAUACAGUGAAGGCCGUAUUCAUUUUGGACAAUGAUGGGAACCGACUUCUGUCUAAGUACUACGAUCCUGAGCUCUACCCAUCCAUGAAAGAACAGAGGAGUUUUGAAAAGAAUGUCUUCAACAAGACCCACAAAGCUGACAAUGAGAUUGCCUUCUUGGAAGGGAAGACCAUCGUCUACAAGAGCAGCAUUGAUCUGUUCCUGUAUGUGGUUGGCAGUGCCCAGGAGAAUGAGCUUAUGCUGAUGGCUGUCCUUAAUUGCCUGUUUGAAUCACUCAGCCAAAUCUUAAGAAAGAAUGUGGAGAGGAGGUGUCUGCUGGACAACAUGGAUGGCGUCUUCCUGGUGGUGGAUGAGAUCAUUGAUGGCGGGGUGAUUUUGGAGAGUGACCCACAGCAGGUGGUGGAGAAGGUCAACUACAGGGCUGGCUCUGAACAGGCGUUUGGCUUUGUCCUGUUUGACUACAUCACCGGUAAAGUAGAGGCGGAGACCUCCAGAAACCAGUAUGCUUAGUCCCUCAGCUACCCCUGCAGGGAGGGAGGGGACGGCAAGCCAGAAGAGACCGAAAGGGCGGAUGACAACCCUCUGACAGAGCAAAGUGUGGCACAGGUAUUACUGUCAGCAAAGGACCAGAUCAAGUGGUCGAUUCUGAAAUGAGCAGUGUACGCAAAGAAGGGGCUUCACCUUCGCACAAAGAACAUAAAGAAGACUAAGAAAUCGUGCUAUGCAGCUAAAAUAUCUAUGUUUUUCGAACGGUGGCGUUGUGUAAAUACUUUGAUUGUGGCCAUGAAAGUAAAACUUUGUACAUAAUAUAUAAUAUAUUUAUUAGCCUAAUCUGUUUAAGACAGUUUAUUAUCAAUUUGUUACGAAAAAGGGUAGGCCUACUGUGGUCCGAGUCUAGGUCAUAUUUCCAAAAGUCAUUGACGUUAUUCGUUAGGAGUACUUUUAAAUUUCAGCAUGUUCUUGGAAAAAUACAUUCUACCAAAUCGGUCUUAAGGGUAAAAUAUGAAGACUGCGUCAGACAGCCUAUGGGUCCUUAUGUUCUUUGCCAUUUUUAGGGAAAACUUUAGAUGAAACGGAGACUAAUAGUGUAUUACUCUUACUAUUCUGCCUUCUGCUGUAAUAUGUGAGAGAUGACCGUAAUCUCAUUACAUUCGCUGGCAAAUCCCUAGUGUGUUCUUAAAGACAGAAUGCUGGCGCUUGUAUCGUAGCCUAUUGUGUUAGAUUAGGCAUAUUUGCAAUUGAGUUGCUUCAGUAUCUCGCGAAUUUUUCUUCCCCACAGCAUAACGACCGCUUUCAUUUUAUCAUACACCAAAGAGUAAAAGCACUAUCUGGAUUUUUGUUUUAUCUUAAGUGAUAUCACAAUAUUUAUGAUCCUUUUUUUUAUUUUGAUAUAGACUAUUUAAUUUAUCUGCCAGCGACCGUUUUCUCGACAGUCUGACUACUUUUGUGUUUAAUGCCUGACAGCUAAAUAACUUCAUCCUAGUCUACUGGUAAAAAUACUAUGGUUCAUGUUACUGAUAUUUUGUACAUCAAUUGGUUUUAAAUAAUAAAAACAGUGAGUGUA